ACAACACUACACACAACGCAGCGUGGGGAGACAUUCUCGGCCACACGUCGAGCAUUUCGGCGAUCGACGUCGAAGCCGGCAUCCAUGAAAUAUUUUUAAAUAACAACAAACAUUUAACACGUUAACUGCUAUCGUGAAAACGUUAAUGAAUGAUAAUGUGAAUCGGAUUUUUAACUAAUUUAAUUUUACGCAAGAAUGAAUAUGAUGAUACUGUUUUGUGCGAUAAGAACAUCUCUAUCAACGAAUAAUAUUAAUGUUGUGUUAUGUUAAAAGUACGGUCGUAUUCUUUAACUGUAUAAACUAUUAUACAGUGACGAUUAAUCGUAGAUUAAGUUAAUCAGAACAAAAUUGUGAGGGACUGGAAGCGGAACCCAUUAUUAUUGAAUGCCAUGAGACAAAGAAUCACGUCAGACGACAAAUUAUUUUUAAACUUCAGAUCUGUAAGGAAAAGGAAGUCUUGAAAUAAUCAUACAUGUACAAAUUCUUGAUAUUUGCUAUAAAUGCCAUGAAUAGCAUAAUGUCAAACGUAUAUAAUUGAGUGUCGGAUGCACUAUAAUAUCUUCUCCUUGUUGAAAGAGAUAUGACCGAGUAAGAUCCAGUUGUAGACGGCUAUACUCUCUGAGACACGUGCUCUUGCGAGCACCGACAGUUCCCAACUCCAAGCUCAUAUUAUCAGUCUACUAGCUGACGCCGCGCGGUUUCUCCCGCGUGGUUCCUGUUCCCGUAGGAAUACCGGGAUAA
rnacentral:lncRNA from 1 species